rnacentral:rRNA from 1 species
AGCAGUAGCCACGGUAAUACGUAGGUGGCAAGCGUUGCCCGGAAUUAUUGGGCGUAAAGGGCUCGCAGGCGGUUUCUUAAGUCUGAUGUGAAAGCCCCCGGCUCAACCGGGGAGGGUCAUUGGAAACUGGGAAACUUGAGUGCAGAAGAGGAGAGUGGAAUUCCACGUGUAGCGGUGAAAUGCGUAGAGAUGUGGAGGAACACCAGUGGCGAAGGCGACUCUCUGGUCUGUAACUGACGCUGAGGAGCGAAAGCGUGGGGAGCGAACAGGAUUAGAUACCCGAGUAGUCCCUGUCUCUUAUAA